UCAAGUUAUUAAGGGCCAACGGUGGAUGCCUUGGCGUCAAGGGCCGAUGAAGGGCGUAGCACGUCUGCGAUAAGCCUCGGCUAGCUGUCAAGCAAGCUUAACCGGGGAUUCCCGAAUCGGGGAACCGGUCCUAGAGAAACUAGGACAUCCUCAGCUGAACACAUAGGCUGAGGGAGGUAACCAGGGGAACUGAAACAUCUAAGUACCCUGAGGAAUAUAAAGCAACCGCGAUUCCCUAAGUAGUGGUGAGCGAACGGGGAACAGCCUAAACCUGCAGGGUUUAGUGGCCUGAGGGCCUAUACCUUGUGGGGGUUGUACGGCAUAUCGGCAUGAGCCUCAGUGAUUGCACAGAGUUACAAAUCUGCUUUCUAGCUGAAGGAACCUGGAAAGGACCGCCAUAGGGGGUGAUAGCCCCGUAAGCGAAAGGAAGUAGACUCUGGAUAUGUUCGUGAGUACCACGGGACACGAGAAAUCCCGUGGGAAGCUGGGGGGACCACCCUCCAAGGCUAAAUACCCUUGACGACCGAUAGUGUACAAGUACCGUGAGGGAAAGGUGAAAAGAACCCCUGAAGGGGAGUGAAAUAGACCUGAAACCGUGGGCCUACAAGCGGUCGGAGCCUCGAUUUAUCGGGGUGACGGCGUGCCUAUUGAAGAAUGAGCCGGCGAGUUACUCCUGUGUGGCAAGGUUAAGGAAUUUAUACGUUCCGGAGCCGUAGCGAAAGCGAGUCUGAAUAGGGCGUCCAGUCGCACGGGGUAGACCCGAAACCGGGUGAGCUAGCCAUGGCCAGGGUGAAGCCUCGAUAGUCUCGAGGUGGAGGCCCGAACCCGUGUACGUUGCAAAGUGCUGGGAUGAGCUGUGGGUAGAGGUGAAAUUCCAACCGAACCCGGAGAUAGCUGGUUCUCCCCGAAAUGCAUUGAGGUGCAGCCUCAAGGGAGAGGAACGGAGGUAGGGCUCUGAAUGGGCUAGGGGGCGCAAGCUUACUGAACCCAAUCAAACUUCGAAUGCCGUUCUAUCUAUGCCUUGGGAGUGAGACAGUGGGGGAUAAGCUCCAUUGUCGAAAGGGAAACAGCCCAGACCACCAAUUAAGGUCCCUAAAUACAGGCUAAGUGUCAAAGGAAGUAUGGUCACCCAGACAACCAGGAGGUUGGCUUAGAAGCAGCCACCCUUUAAAGAGUGCGUAAUAGCUCACUGGUCAAGGGACUGUGCGCCGACAAUUUAUCGGGGCUAAAGCCUGUUACCGAAAUUGUGGCUUCCGCUUACGCGGAGGGGUAGGGGAGCGUUCUAUAUGCACUGAAGCUCAACUGUAAGGUUGGGUGGAGCGUAUAGAAGUGAGAAUGCCGGCAUGAGUAAUGUGAAGAUGCGUGAGAACCGCAUCCGCCGAAAGUCUGAGGUUUCCUACGCAACGUCGUUCGGCGUAGGGUUAGUCGGUCCUAAGUCGAGGCCGCAAGGCGUAGACGAUGGAUAGCUGGUUAAUAUUCCAGCGCCACCCAUGGAUCGUUUUAAGGCUAAGGAGGGACACGGGAAGCUAGGUAGAGCGUGCCUAUUGGACAUGGUACGUCGGAACCUGUAGGUGAUCUCGGGAUAGGAAAAUCCGUUCCGAGGCUUGAGCUGAGGGGUAAUGCGACUUUAGGGCUUAGCCCUAGGGAAGUCUAUUGAUGCUACACCGGCAAGAAAAACUUCGUAGCUAGAGUCAUGGGUGUCCGUACCGCAAACCGACACUGGUGGACUGGUAUAAAUGUACUAAGGCGGACGAGAGAACCAUCCUUAAGGAACUCGGCAAAUUGACUCCGUAACUUUGGGAGAAGGAGUGCCCUGGGACGUGUACCCCCUUGCGGGAGAAGCGUUUUGGGGUCGCAGAUAAGAGGCUCUGGUGACUGUUUAACAAAAACACAGGUCCCUGCUUAAGUCGUAAGACGAUGUAUAGGGGCUGACGCCUGCCCAGUGCCGGAAGGUCAAGAGGCGCGGUGAGAGCUGCAAAUCGAAGCCCCGGUGAACGGCGGCCGUAACUAUAACGGUCCUAAGGUACCGAAAUCCCUUGUCAGGUAAGUUCUGACCCGCAGGAAAGGCGUAACAACUGGAGCGCUGUCUCAAGGAUGGUCUCGAUGAAAUUGAAGUACGAGUGAAGAUGCUCGUUACCCGCAGCAGGACAA
rnacentral:rRNA from 1 species